GCCUCACAUGGGCAGCAUGGCGGCGCCCAGAGCCGCCCGCGCGCUGCGGAGCGGAGUACCAUCGUGACAGAUGUGGCUGCGUCCUGUUUACAAAUUGCUUCUAGUCACAUUUUCAGUAGUCCUUAUGGGUUUUGCUUUCCCCUAAUACAUCCAAUUAGGAGGAAAUAUUUCUCACAAGCACGGACUUGCUCUUCUCCUUGUAAUGACACAGUUCUGCAAUCCAGGAAGCAGUCCUGCAUGGUGUCCAUGUCCACGAUUUCCUGAUGUGGGAAAAACGUGUGGAAAGCAUCUGGAGAGGAGACCCCCUUUACCAGCUUGUUUCCUGUUCUGUGACUGGCUGCCAUAUAAUCUUUUCUUUGUGUAAUCAUAACUACCUGCACAGACACUCAAGCAAUCAUCAGCAAAGAUGCUUCUUCUUUCAAGGACAAAGAAAUGCUGCUUAUAGUAUAGUUUGGCCAGCCGUGGUUUCUCCAGCUCACCAAGUUCCUAAGCACAUAAAGAAGCCAGACUAUGUGACGACAGGCAUUGUACCAGACUGGGGAGACGACAUAGAAAUUAAGAAUGAAGAUCAGAUUCAAGGGCUUCGUCAAGCUUGUCAGUUGGCCCGUCAUGUCCUGCUUCUGGCUGGAAAGGGCUUAAAGGUUGGCAUGACAACUGAAGAAAUAGAUUCCAUUGUUCAUCAUGAAAUAAUCAGACAGAAUGCCUAUCCAUCACCUCUGGGCUAUGGAGGUUUUCCAAAAUCUGUUUGUACUUCUGUAAACAACGUGGUAUGUCAUGGUAUUCCUGACAGUCGACCUCUUCAGGAUGGAGAUAUUAUCAACAUUGAUGUCACGGUGUAUUACAAUGGCUACCAUGGUGACACUUCUGAAACCUUUUUGGUGGGCAGUGUGGAUAAAUCUGGUGAAAAGUUAGUGGAGGUUGCCAGGAAAUGUAGAGAUGAAGCAAUUGCAGCUUGCAGACCAGGGGCUCCCUUCUCUGUAAUUGGAAACACAAUCAGCUCCUUGGCAUGGCAGGGUGGCUUCCAGGUCUGCCCCUUCUUCGUCGGCCACGGCAUCGGGUCGUACUUUCACGGGCACCCCGAGGUGUGGCACCACGCCAAUGACAGUGAUUUAUUAAUGGAAGAGGGAAUGGCGUUCACAAUAGAGCCAAUAAUAAUGGAAGGAUCCCCCGAAUUUAAGAUUCUGGAGGACAAAUGGACUGCAAUUUCUGUAGACAAUAAAAGAUCGGCACAAUUUGAACAUACCCUGGUGAUUACCUCAGAGGGAGCAGAAAUCCUCACUAAACUGGUGGAAGAAGCCUAAAGAUGGAGCAAGGAGUGGAGAGACUUGCUGUACUUCUGGGAUUUCAAGUUUCACUUGGGACAAAGAAGAGGUUUCGGCUGUAACUUCUACUGGGAUGGAAAAAAAAUUCCUGAGAGUGUCAGGCAGAGGGAGCAGACUCUUCCCAGCAUCAUUCCCAGCAGCAAUCCCCUGCUUCUUGCCUCUUUUUACACAGCACAAAAAGUGAUUAAAAAUGAGAUGCAAAGCACGCCUCUCCAGGGAUCAAUAAUUGCCCUGCUUGAAAAAUUAGCCAGUUUGGGGUAAUCACUGCUCUGUGGUGCCCAUGUUAGUUAAGGGAGACACACUUAACUCUACAUUUUAAGCAUUUUAUGGAGGCAGAGGAGUUUGCAGUCUGGAAGAUGAGUCCUGACUCCUGCCCAGAGUUUGGAACCGAUGGACCUCAUGAGCUGCGGUCUCACUUGGCCCUGUGCUCUCUGCAGUCCUGUCCUGGGCCUGCCAGGCGUGUGGGGGUUGAUUUGCAAUUUAGCCAGUUGCUGACCACCCUGUGGGACCAAACAAGUCUGGGGUUGAUAUCUGGGGGCUACCAGAGCAGGACCUGGGCCUGUGAAAUGUGGGGUAGCCUUGGA